GCGGAAGUGGUGGAAUUGGUAGACACGCAGGAUUUAGGUUCCUGUGCCUCAGGGCGUGUGGGUUCAAGUCCCAUCUUCCGCA
rnacentral:tRNA from 1 species